CCCAAGGAAGAAGCCAUGCAUGCCCGCUCACUCCGGGACGCGGCGGACGGCUCAGGACAACGGUUGCACCCCCCGCGGCGGUCCCUGCUAGCCGGACACCGCUGGCAACCCGGCGCCAAGACGUGCGCGCAAGGGCGGGCGCCCGCGGGCGAGCAGCGUGACGCAGCGACGGCCCGCCCGGGCUUCCGGGGCAUCAUCCGGUCGAUCCU
rnacentral:rRNA from 1 species